GGUGCUAUAGUGUAGUGGUUAUCACUCGGGAUUUUGAAGUCGCCAUAAAUUUCGAAGUGUAUUAUGUAAGCGAUAAAUUUCCCGAAACCCAGGUUCGAACCCUGGUAGCACCU